AUCUUGAUAGUAUAAACAAUACUUUGGUCUUGUAAACCAAAAAUGAGGUAGUACGCCUCUCAAGAUA
rnacentral:tRNA from 1 species